AGUCAGUUCAGGCAGACCCGAAACCGGGUGAUCUACCCAUGUCCAGGUUGAAGUUUCCGUAAAAGGAAAUGGAGGACCGAACGCACAUCCGUUGAAAAGGGUGGCGAUGAGGUGUGGGUAGGGGAGAAAUUCCAAUCGAACCCGGAGAUAGCUGGUUCUCCUCGAAAUAGCUUUAGGGCUAGCCUCGUAUUAGUUUAGCGGAGGUAGAGCACUGAAUUCUUAAGGGGGCGUCAAAGCUUACCAAGAGAUAUCAAACUCCGAAUGCCGCAUAAAUGAUGUACGGGAGUCAGACUGCACGAGAUAAGUUGGGUAGUCAAAAGGGAAAGAGCCCAGACCUACAGCUAAGGUCCCAAAGUGUGUGUUAAGUGGAAAAGGAUGUGGGAUUUCAAAGACAACUAGGAUGUUGGCUCAGAAGCAGCCACACAUUCAAAGAGUGCGUAAUAGCUCACUAGUCGAGAGGUCCUGCGCCGAAAAUGUCCGGGGCUGAAACACAACACCGAAGCUUAGGAAUUGACGUAAGUCAAUUGGUAGAGGAGCAUUCUUAACUGCGAAGAAGCGUUACCGUAAGGAGGCGUGGAGUGUUAAGAAGAGAGAAUGCCGGAAUGAGUAGCGAGAUGGAGGUGGGAAUCCUCCAGGCCGAAUAUCUAAGGUUUCCAGAGUAAAGCUGAUCUGCUCUGGGUAAGUCGGGGCCUAAGGCGAGGUCGAAAGACGUAGUCGAUGGACAACAGGUUGAAAUUCCUGUACCGCGUAUUAUCAGAACUGUGGGGACACAGAACCGAAGCCAAACCCGGGAAUGAAAAGACCGGGGCAAGCGCCGGACUGGUUAGACUGGAAAAUCCGUCUAGCAACAGGAAAGCGUGACGCGUACCGAACAAAAGUAGGGAAGUUGGUAUAGGGGCUGUCAAGAAAAGCCGCUAUUGUGUAAUACGUGCCCGUACCGUAAACCGACACAGGUGGAUGAGGAGAGAAUCCUAAGGCCGGCGGGAGAAGCAUUGUUAAGGAACUCGGCAAAAUGGCUCCGUAACUUCGGGAUAAGGAGCGCCCACGAGAGUGGGCCGCAGAGAAUAGGCUCAAGCAACUGUUUAGCAAAAACACAGGUCUAUGCAAAACCGAAAGGUGAGGUAUAUGCUGACGCCUGCCCGGUGCUGGAAGGUUAAGAGGAGAGGUUAGAGCAAUCGAAGCUUUGAAUUUAAGCCCCAGUAAACGGCGGCCGUAACUAUAACGGUCCUAAGGUAGCGAAAUUCCUUGUCGGGUAAGUUCCGACCCGCACGAAAGGCGUAAUGAUUUGAGCGCUGUCUCGACAAUGCACCCGGUGAAAUUGAAGUACCAGUGAAGAUGCUGGUUACCUGCGCCAGGACGGAAAGACCCCAUGGAGCUUUACUCCAGCUUGAUACUGGGAUUCGGUGUCGCAUGUACAGGAUAGGUGGGAGGCAGUGAAGGUAGGACGCCAGUCUUACCGGAGCCAUUGUUGGGAUACCACCCUUGCGAUAUUGGGUUUCUAACCUGCGGCCAUGACCUGGCCGGGGGACAAUGUCAGGUGGGGAGUUUGACUGGGGCGGUCGC
rnacentral:rRNA from 1 species